AUUGAACGCUGGCGGAAUGCUUUACACAUGCAAGUCGAACGGCAGCACGGGGGCAACCCUGGUGGCGAGUGGCGAACGGGUGAGUAAUACAUCGGAACGUGCCCAGUCGUGGGGGAUAACGUAGCGAAAGCUACGCUAAUACCGCAUACGAACUCUGGUUGAAAGCGGGGGAUCGCAAGACCUCGCGCGAUUGGAGCGGCCGAUGGCAGAUUAGGUAGUUGGUGGGGUAAAGGCCUACCAAGCCGACGAUCUGUAGCUGGUCUGAGAGGACGACCAGCCACACUGGGACUGAGACACGGCCCAGACUCCUACGGGAGGCAGCAGUGGGGAAUUUUGGACAAUGGGCGCAAGCCUGAUCCAGCCAUUCCGCGUGCAGGAUGAAGGCCCUCGGGUUGUAAACUGCUUUUGUACGGAACGAAACGGUGCCAGCUAAUACCUGGCGCUAAUGACGGUACCGUAAGAAUAAGCACCGGCUAACUACGUGCCAGCCGCCGCUGUAA
rnacentral:rRNA from 1 species